rnacentral:rRNA from 1 species
AGAUUGAACGCUGGCGGCAUGCCUUACACAUGCAAGUCGAACGGCAGCAUGGGAGCAAUCCUGGUGGCGAGUGGCGAACGGGUGAGUAAUAUAUCGGAACGUGCCCAGUAAUGGGGGAUAGCCCGGCGAAAGCCGGAUUAAUACCGCAUACGACCUACGGGUGAAAGCGGGGGAUCGCAAGACCUCGCGUUAUUGGAGCGGCCGAUAUCAGAUUAGCUUGUUGGCGGGUAAAAGCCCACCAAGGCAACGAUCUGUAGCUGGUCUGAGAGGACGACCAGCCACACUGGGACUGAGACACGGCCCAGACUCCUACGGGAGCAGCAGUGGGAAUUUUGGACAAUGGGCGCAAGCCUGAUCCAGCAAUGCCGCGUGCAGGAAGAAGGCCUUGGUGUAACUGUCUUUGUACGGAACGAACGUCUGGUUAACUACCGUGGGCUAAGUGACGUACGUAAGAUAAGCACCGG